rnacentral:rRNA from 1 species
CCUACGGGUGGCAGCAGUGGGGAAUAUUGCGCCAUGGGCGAAAGCCUGACGCAGCGACGCCGCGUGAGGGAUGAAGGUCUUCGGAUCGUAAACCUCUGUCAGCAGGGCAGAACGGUCACUGUGCUAAUCAGCAGUGAAUUGACGGUACCUGCAAAGGAAGCACCGGCUAACUCUGUGCCACCAGCCGCGGUAAUACGGAGGGUGCGAGCGUUAAUCGGACGUACUGGGCGUAAAGCGCUCGUAGGCGGUAUGUCAAGUCAAGGGUGAAAUCCCCGCGCUCAACGUGGGAACUGCCUUUGAAACUGGCAAACUGGAGUGUGUGAGAGGAUAGUGGAAUUCCAGGUGUAGGAGUGAAAUCCGUAGAUAUCUGGAGGAACAUCAGUGGCGAAGGCGACUAUCUGGCACAUAACUGACGCUGAGGAGCGAAAGCGUGGGUAGCAAACAGGAUUAGAUACCCGGGUAGUC